rnacentral:rRNA from 1 species
GGCUAAGUCGUAACAAGGUAGCCGUACCGGAAGGUGCGGCUGGAACACCUCCUUUCUGGAGUUC